GUUGAACGCUGGCGGCAGGCCUAACACAUGCAAGUCGAGCGGAUGAAGGGAGCUUGCUCCUGGAUUCAGCGGCGGACGGGUGAGUAAUGCCUAGGAAUCUGCCUGGUAGUGGGGGAUAACGUCCGGAAACGGGCGCUAAUACCGCAUACGUCCUGAGGGAGAAAGUGGGGGAUCUUCGGACCUCACGCUAUCAGAUGAGCCUAGGUCGGAUUAGCUAGUUGGUGGGGUAAAGGCCUACCAAGGCGACGAUCCGUAACUGGUCUGAGAGGAUGAUCAGUCACACUGGAACUGAGACACGGUCCAGACUCCUACGGGAGGCAGCAGUGGGGAAUAUUGGACAAUGGGCGAAAGCCUGAUCCAGCCAUGCCGCGUGUGUGAAGAAGAUCUUCGGAUUGUAAAGCACUUUAAGUUGGGAGGAAGGGCAGUAAGUUAAUACCUUGCUGUUUUGACGUUACCAACAGAAUAAGCACCGGCUAACUUCGUG
rnacentral:rRNA from 1 species